ACUUGCGCAUUCUUAGCUUACAAGGUAGCACAGCAGGUCGAAAAGGCAUGGCUGAUGCUCUAGCAGAUAUGAAAAAAGAUGGUGCUUCACCUUCUGAAGGCCAUCCUACAGUUAACCUAAAGCACAAACCUACUAAAGAUGUCCACAAGCAUCCAGACACAUCAAAGCCAGCGUGGCUUUUGGCUUUGGAAGUAGUGACAAGAACCACUUAAUGAAGUUAUACUACCCGCAGCAAAGCGCGGGCUCUCAAAGUGUUUGAACUGACGCUGAAGCUUCAGCCUUUGGUGUCGAGGUCCAUCACUGGGGGGGAGUUGCCAUCGGAGGCUUGAUCGUGGAUACCAAGGUGUUCUGCUGGCCUAGAAAGUGCACCUAGCUUUGCUGAUUCAAGGACAUGAGUAGGAAGAGGAGCUUUUCUUCAGCUUCAGAAGGUACUCUUUUAACUUGAAAGUUUGUUGCUUCUUUCUGUUUCAGGAUUUUACUGAUAUCUUAGAUUUUA